ensembl:lncRNA
GUCAAUUUUAGGGUUUGAUUUAACUUAAUUAAACAUUGUAUUCUGGUGUGUUUAAGUAGGAUUCCUUAUUCCGGGACGGAUGGAAGUUAUCUAAAAUAUGUAAAUUGAAGGAGCCAUGGGAGAAUGCGUUUACAUUUUUAUUAAAUAUCUGGGAUUAAAUGACGGAUUUCUUACACUGAGAAAUGUACGACAUUUGCGGCAGAGGGAAAAAGUAAUACAUUGGAUAAUAAUGUUAUCAGGUUAAUUGUAUCUAAGGGUAGCAUUGGAUAAUAAUGUUAUCAGGUUAAUUGUAUCUAAGGGAAGCAUUGGAUAAUAAUGUUAUCAGGUUAAUUGUAUCUAAGGGAAGCAUUGGAUAAUAAUGUUAUCAGGUUAAUUGUAUCUAAGGGAAGCAUUGGAUAAUAAUGUUAUCAGGUUAAUUGUAUCUAAGGGGAACAUUGGAUAAUAAUGUUAUCAGGUUAAUUGUAUCUAAGGGAAGCAUUGGAUAAUAAUGUUAUCAGGUUAAUUGUAUCUAAGGGGAACAUUGGAUAAUAAUGUUAUCAGGUUAAUUGUAUCUAAGGGAAGCAUGUUCAUUUAAGUAAACAUAUACAUUGACGUUGUUUAAAACUUAUGAUUAAUGAUUUGAGUUAAAGGGGAAUCAUCAUUAGGU